AGAGUUUGAUCCUGGCUCAGGACGAACGCUGACGGUGUGCUUUAGGCAUGCAAGUCGAACGAGAAAGCCCUUCGGGGUGAGUAAAGUGGCGAACGGGUGAGUAACACGUGGGCAACCUGCCCCUCGCAGGGGGACAACCGGAGGAAACUCCGGCUAAUACCCCGUACGCUUGUUGGGUCGCAUGGCUCGGCAAGGAAAGGUAGCUUCGGCCAUCCGGCGAGGGAUGGGCCCGCGUUGCAUUAGCUAGUUGGUGGGGUAACGGCCCACCAAGGCGACGAUGCGUAGCUGGUCUGAGAGGAUGAUCAGCCACACUGGGACUGAGACACGGCCCAGACUCCUACGGGAGGCAGCAGCCAGGAAUCUUGGGCAAUGGGCGAAAGCCUGACCCAGCAACACCGUGUGGGCGAUGAAGGCCUUAGGGUCGUAAAGCCCUGUUGAUAGGGACGAAGGGCGAAGGGUUAAUAGCCCCUAGCUUGACGGUACCUUUCGAGGAAGCCCCGGCUAACUACGUGCCAGCAGCCGCGGUAAUACGUAGGGGGCGAGCGUUGUCCGGAAUUAUUGGGCGUAAAGAGCGUGUAGGCGGUUCGGUAAGUCUGCUGUGAAAUCCUGGGGCUCAACCCUGGGCGUGCAGCGGAUACUGCCGGGCUAGAGGGUGGUAGAGGCGAGUGGAAUUCCGAGUGUAGCGGUGAAAUGCGCAGAUAUUCGGAGGAACACCAGUAGCGAAGGCGGCUCGCUGGGCCACACCUGACGCUGAGACGCGAAAGCGUGGGGAGCGAACAGGAUUAGAUACCCCCGUAGUCC
rnacentral:rRNA from 1 species